AAGAAAAUGACAGAAUGGUAAUGUGCCUGGCUUGAAACCAGAUAAUGGGGGUUCGAUUCCCUCUUUUCUCG
rnacentral:tRNA from 1 species